UGACCAGACUCCUACGGGAGGCAGCAGUGGGGGAUAUUGCACAAUGGGGGGAACCCUGAUGCAGCGACGCCGCGUGGGUGAAGAAGCGCCUCGGCGCGUAAAGCCCUGUCAGCAGGGAAGAAAAUGACGGUACCUGAAGAAGAAGCCCCGGCUAACUACGUGCCAGCAGCCGCGGUAAUACGUAGGUGGCAAGCGUUGUCCGGAUUUACUGGGUGUAAAGGGCGUGUAGCCGGGUUGACAAGUCAGAUGUGAAAUCCCGCGGCUCAACCGCGGAACUGCAUUUGAAACUGUGCUUCUUGAGUGCUGGAGAGGCAGACGGAAUUCCUAGUGUAGCGGUGAAAUGCGUAGAUAUUAGGAGGAACACCAGUGGCGAAGGCGGUCUGCUGGACAGUAACUGACGGUGAGGCGCGAAAGCGUGGGGAGCAAACAGGAUUAGAUACCCGUGUA
rnacentral:rRNA from 1 species